rnacentral:rRNA from 1 species
GGCGUCCGGGGAUGGCGCGACGGAGAGUCGGGUUGCUUGGGAGUGCAGCCCGAAGCGGGUGGUAAACUCCAUCUAAGGCUGAAUACCGAGGCGAGACCGAUAGAGGACAAGUACCGUGAGGGAAAGUUGAAAAGGACUUUGAAAAGAGAGUUCAAGAGUACGUGAAACCGCAGAGAGGCAAACGGGGUGGUCCUCUACGGCGCGUCCUAGUGUGUCGGGGUGUGUCGGCGGCGCGUUGUCUCUCCUCGGAGGGCAGCGUGGCGUCGGCAUGCUCGGGCAUGUCCUAGGGCGUGCAGUGCCGCGGGUGGUGUCUCCGUCGUCGAGUGUCGUGGAUCGAGUGCUGGUUCCUUCGGGCGCCGGUGCUGGCCGCGGCUCGCGUCGGACGGGGUUACUUUGUCGCGGCGUCCAAGGAGGUAGCCAUCCCGACCCGUCUUGAAACACGGACCAAGGAGUCUAACGCACGCGCGAGUCGGAGGGUGUCAAACCCCGUGGCGCAGCGAAAGCGAUAAAAGGUGGGAUCGUUCCUUCGGGAGCAGUCACCAUCGGCCUCUUGACCGGCUCGCCGGACGAGGGAGCGAGAGCGUGUGUGUUGGUACCCGAAAGAUGGUGAACUAUGCCUGGACAGGGCGAAGCCAGGGGAAACCCUGGUGGAGGCCCGUAGCGAUUCUGACGUGCAAAUCGAUCGUCUGAGCUGGGUAUAGGGGCGAAAGACUAAUCGAACCAUCUAGUAGCUGGUUCCCUCCGAAGUUUCCCUCAGGAUAGCUGGCGCUCGAGAGUUAGUUUCAUCGGGUAAAGCGAAUGAUUAGAGGUCUCGGGGUCGAAACGACCUCGACCUAUUCUCAAACUAUAAAUCGGGUGAGAACCCGCGUCUUCUUGAUUGAGGCGCGGGCCUCGAAUGCAGAGUGCCUAGUGGGCCAUUUUUGGUAAGCAGAACUGGCGAUGCGGGAUGAACCGAAAACUGGACUGCGGCGCCCUAUGCAGCGACGCUCAUCGGAUCUACGGGAAAGGUGUUGGUUGAUACAGACAGCAGGACGGUGGCCAUGGAAGUCGGAAUCCGCUAAGGAGUGUGUAACAACUCACCUGCCGAAUCAACCAGCCCUGAAAAUGGAUGGCGCUGGAGCGUCGACAGCCUACGUCCAGUGACCGGGGAAGAGUUGGCAAUCCCCGGUCAGUAGGAGGGCCGCGGAGGGGAGCGUGGAAGCGUGGACGCGGGUCUGCGUGGAGCCCCCUCCGGUGCAGAUCUUGGUGGUAGUAGCAAAUAUUCAAAUGAAAGCUUUGAAGGCUGAAGUGGAGAAGGGUUCCAUGUGAACAGCAGUUGGACAUGGGUGAGUCGAUCCUAAGGCGUAGGAGAAAUCCGGGAAAGCGCGCCCUUGCUGGCGCCGAGUGCCGAAAGGGGACGGGGUCAAUAUUCCCCGACCUGGACAUGGACGUACCUCGCGAAUCAAACCACGGGUCGGUCGGCGGCGUUCGCGUCGUCCGGCCGGUUUCGUGCUAUCGCGAGUCUAAGUGGUAACACAAGUGAACCCGGCGACGUUGUCGAGAGCCCUGGGAGGAGUUUUCUUUUCUCUUUUAGGGUACGUUCUCCCUGGAAUCAGUUCGGCUGGAGAUAGGGAAGGCUGUGCCCGUAGAGCAUGGCAGGUCAUGUUGUGUCCGGUGCGUUCUCGACGACCCUGAAAAGCC